GAGGAUGUAGCUUAGCGGGUUAAAGCACCAGUCCGUCGAACUGGAUAUUGUAGGUUCAAAUCCCAUCACCCUCG
rnacentral:tRNA from 2 species